rnacentral:lncRNA from 1 species
AAAUGAGUCUUCUCACCUGGCUCCUGGUCUCGUUGAUUCCAAGCCUUUUUACCCACUACGGACAAGAACAGUCUUGGGGGUGGGGGUAAAGGUUAGGGAAAUAUCUGGUGCCCAAUAUGGGGCUGUAUACCUUUGUGGGCCUGAGCACUAAGAUUGUCUGAGUAUGAGUUUAUUUUUUUUAAUUGCAGUUGUCAUCUUUAAAUUCCUCUGACUAAGAACUUUUUUUACUCACUGUGGUAGGGUCGCGUGCCCCCUUCAGGGUUUUUCUGGCAAGUUGGUCACUUCAUGCAUGUCCCAUGUGCGAGAGGUAAGUGUUUGGGGACCCCCCCACCUUUUCCUUUGUGUCAUUUGUCUGGAUAGGGAGGCACACGCUGUUUUACUUUUAGUUUGCCCAGCAUCUCCACAUAGACUGACCAUCCAUGAGAUGGAACCAAGGACUGCACUCCCCCGCCCCCCAUGGCAUUCCUCGACCGCAGACACUGUGGGCAUAGAGCAGUGGCCUAAUGCACCACGAAGUCCCCUACAAGUACUAGAUACCUGAGUCCAAAACACACUUUACUCUCUCCUCACUUUUCCCCUUUCUUGUGAGUUUACCCUUGUGUCUCACCUCUCAGUGGGAGCCUCCCCUCCCACUGCAAGUAGCCCCAAAUAAGCUCCUCCUUAUGCCCAGGGGCAUGAAAGUCACGUCCCUGGAUCUGGAAAACUUCUGCACUGAAUCAGCAGUUCUAGCCCCAUAGAACCUGAUUCAUGGUUAAGAUUUUUGUUUCUUGCCCAGAAACACAAGGUGAAUUUGGGGAUGCACUCCCCCCACCCACCCCCACCACAGCCCUGGAGAAAGUUAUUGCCUCCCACAACAAGCAUUGUCAGGAACAAGUGAGUGUAAACUUGUCUAUAACUGUCUCUCCUCUGAACCUCUCUGUAGCGGUGGACUCCUCAGAAAAGGAGAGGAAGGAGGGGGAGGAGGAUUCGGAAGCCCUACUGUGGCACCGGUGAAACCACCUCACCUUUCAAAGGCAUCUGAAUAUCUGGUGCCAGCCUGCAAGUCCCCCCCCCUCCAGUACCCAUGGUGUGGAAUUUGUGCCAAGGAUGCUACCAUUCUACCUCCCACACACUUAACAGCCUCCUGCAAUUGGGCUCCCACGAACCGCUGCUGCACAGAUGCCUUCCUUGGACCAUAGGACCUGACCUGAGGCUUAUCCUAUCAACCUGGACCCUGAUGAGGUCAAUCGCCCUUGGGUCCCUAUGCCCCUAGCUGACUUUGCUUUAAUUAGAAAGGUGGCCAAUGAAUUGGGGCCUGAUUCUCCC